rnacentral:rRNA from 1 species
GACAGAGGGUGCAAACGUUGUUCGGAAUUACUGGGCGUAAAGCGCGUGUAGGCGGCUAAGUAAGUCGGACGUGAAAUCCCUCGGCUUAACCGGGGAACUGCGUCCGAUACUGGAUGGCUAGAGUUCGGGAGAGGGAUGCGGAAUUCCAGGUGUAGCGGUGAAAUGCGUAGAUAUCUGGAGGAACACCGGUGGCGAAGGCGGCAUCCUGGACCGACACUGACGCUGAGGAGCGAAAGCCAGGGGAGCAAACGGG